AACACGUGAGUAACCUGCCCUUAACUCUGGGAUAAGCCUGGGAAACUGGGUCUAAUACCGGAUAUGACUCCUCAUCGCAUGGUGGGGGGUGGAAAGCUUUUUGUGGUUUUGGAUGGACUCGCGGCCUAUCAGCUUGUUGGUGAGGUAAUGGCUUACCAAGGCGACGACGGGUAGCCGGCCUGAGAGGGUGACCGGCCACACUGGGACUGAGACACGGCCCAGACUCCUACGGGAGGCAGCAGUGGGGAAUAUUGCACAAUGGGCGCAAGCCUGAUGCAGCGACGCCGCGUGAGGGAUGACGGCCUUCGGGUUGUAAACCUCUUUCAGUAGGGAAGAAGCGAAAGUGACGGUACCUGCAGAAGAAGCGCCGGCUAACUACGUGCCAGCAGCCGCGGUAAUACGUAGGGCGCAAGCGUUAUCCGGAAUUAUUGGGCGUAAAGAGCUCGUAGGCGGUUUGUCGCGUCUGCCGUGAAAGUCCGGGGCUCAACUCCGGAUCUGCGGUGGGUACGGGCAGACUAGAGUGAUGUAGGGGAGACUGGAAUUCCUGGUGUAGCGGUGAAAUGCGCAGAUAUCAGGAGGAACACCGAUGGCGAAGGCAGGUCUCUGGGCAUUAACUGACGCUGAGGAGCGAAAGCAUGGGGAGCGAACAGGAUUAGAUACCCUGGUAGUCCAUGCCGUAAACGUUGGGCACUAGGUGUGGGGGACAUUCCACGUUUUCCGCGCCGUAGCUAACGCAUUAAGUGCCCCGCCUGGGGAGUACGGCCGCAAGGCUAAAACUCAAAGGAAUUGACGGGGGCCCG
rnacentral:rRNA from 1 species